UACGUAGGUGGCAAGCGUUUGUCCGGAAUUAUUGGGCGUAAAGGGCGCGUAGGCGGUACCUUAAGUCAGAUGUGAAAACCCGAGGCUUAACUUCGGAGGUGCAUUUGAAACUGGGGAACUAGAGUGCAGGAGAGGUAAGUGGAAUUCCUAGUGUAGCGGUGAAAAUGCGUAGAUAUUAGGAGGAACACCAGUGGCGAAGGCGACUUACUGGACUGUAACUGACGCUGAGGCGCGAAAGCGUGGGGGAGCAAACAGG
rnacentral:rRNA from 1 species